GGGCCGUUAGCUCAGUUGGUUAGAGCAGCUGACUCUUAAUCAGCGGGUCCGGGGUUCGAGUCCCUGACGGCCCA
rnacentral:tRNA from 2 species